GACCUAAUAGCGAAUGGUAUCGCGUCCACAGUCUGACGAAUCCCUCUAGCAGUGGAAGAUCCUGGUUCGAUUCCAGGUUAGGUCA